CAGCAAUGACGAUGAACCUUACCUACUAAGACACCACGAUGGUUCUAGCUACUCGUACUGUCUGAGCUC
rnacentral:snoRNA from 1 species